CAAAAUGAUAAUGUUCCUUGAACUCAUCAGAGGACUGACAUCACAGGGCAACUAAGCAACUAGAAUUCCAAAGAAGGACAAGCCCCUCCAAAGACAGGAAGCAUGAGGGCAGGCUCAUCAGUGUCAGAGCAGGGGAGACCAGCACAGACACCUUACAAGCAGAAUGACCUUCUGUGGCUACAGAGAAAGGCUUCAGGCAAAGAGAUGCAGCUCUGGGCCCCAGAGUCCGCUGGAGCACACUGAAGCUGGAGCACACUGAAGUGGAAGAUGGGGCUGCAGACAGAGACUGGGCAGCCUCUGCUCCAGGGAGGCCCGAGAGCCAGAGAGCAGAUUCCAUAAGAAGAAUAACUCCCAUUCCUCAUGCAUGAGACCCUCUGCUAAAUGCUUCCUGUGCACCACCUCCAGAAAUCCUCCCAAGCCAGGACACCAGCAGUAUUACAGGAACUGGAUGACAAAAAGAAGAGCCGAUAUAACCAGGAACCUACUCUGGCCACCCCAAGUAAGGAUCUAAAGUCCAGCCUCCUCCUCCACUGCCCUCAAGGCCUUUCCUCAUGAAAGCAGAGGUUCUGAAUGCUGAUUUCUGUUUUAAAGCCCAAUAACU
rnacentral:lncRNA from 1 species